GCCAUUUAUUUAACAUAAACGUUUUUCAUUUUGUAUUCCUUUCUUAUUUGUUUCUUAUUUAUUUAUUUAACAUAAACGUUUUUCGUUUCGUAUUCCUUUCUUAUUCGUUUGUUAUUUAUUUAUUUCACAUAAACUUUUUUCGUUUCGUAUUCCCUUCUUAUUCGGUUCUUAUUUAUUGAAUUAUUUGUUGCACAAUGUGUGCCGUGAUUACUCGUUUUGUUAAUAUAGGCAACUUAUCUAACGUAAAUGUUUUUUGUUUUUGUUUCUUAUUUAUUUUUUGCUUGAUGUGUGCUGUGAUUAUUCGUUUUGUAAGGUCUGUGUUUAAUAUAAUCAAAUGUACUUUUUUGUAGUUUUGUGUGUUUUUAUUAAGAAAGAUAUUGAACCCACCAUUAAUUCAAGCAAUUGCCGUUCCCGAACUGCUGCUAAUUCAAAACUGAAAGUAAAAUGCGCCAUGCGCAGGGCCGCAUCUUCGACCACCCCACAGCAAACCCCCCACCCCCGGUGUCACGGGUACAACCAGUGUUUUUACAAUUAAAGUGGGAGUUUUCUUCAAUCUUGCAUCCAUGUCCUCACAGGAAAAGGGCAGAGGACGAACCUGGCCAGCCGACUUGGCACUCUUCAAUAUUCUCCAAGUAUAAAUGGAACAAAGUGUCACCAUAGCGAAGGCCGUGUCCGUUUGAGCUGUGUGUAAAGGUGACUUUGCUUUAUUUGGCCUUUAGCCCAGAGUUCAGCUGCAUUCUAGAGAGCUGUGUUAUCCUGACCACUCCCACAAAACACACUGUCGCCAUGCCCACCUCAUUAUCACAUUUAAAGCACGGCCUCGUAUAUCCUACACUCCACACGGCAGCCACCGCGGUUAAGCCUGGGCCCAUCCUGUGAGCCCCAUAAUCUUUAACGGGAUCAUAACCGACGUCACAUGAUGUCUACAAAGACAUGGCUGUUAUUUGAAGUUGAAUGAUCAGUCCCAGACGAGAGGAUUUUGCAUCGGGUGCCUGGUAGGAGAGCCACAGUCCCGUGGACACGUGCAUGACGAAACAGACGGAAUCGCCGUAUUUGAUCUCCGCCACUCCCAUGCCGUCUAUAUCACGCUUUGGACCGGACUCAACCUUUUCCUACCAAGGGAAGACAAAUUUGUAGUGACCGGUGGAGAGAUGGCGUAGACGGAAGGGCUGACCCCAUCUAAUGUGGCUCCCGCUCCAACUGCAAUUCAGAGAAAAGCCCAGUUUCCCCUAUGAGUCUGUGAGGCUUAGAUUGAGAUACAGUAUAGCUCUGUCAAUUAGCAAAUAUAUAAAUAAGUGUUGACCAUAUUAUUGCUUCAUUAUUUGAUAGCUUUCUUCACAAAAAAGAAAAACAAAAUCUUGCUAUCCACAUUCAUGGAUACGACAUGCUCCAUCCUGACUUGACUUCCACCUACCCCGUUGGGCAUAAUUGAAAAAGACACUAGAGGAACAACAAGUCUGGGUCAUUAAAAAUGUAUCGCCGUUUCGACCCAGAAUGUAUGUUUGUGUGCGCAGACAAGGAAAGAGAAGUGUGAGGGUCUGCAGGUAAGCG